rnacentral:sRNA from 1 species
UUUCGAAUGGCGGUUGCGACUGGCAAC